UUAGGCAAACAAACAGGCCCUAAGUUGAAAGAAAGUUUUAUUACAAAGGCAAUAUGCUGGAUAUACUGAUCAGAAGCAGGAGAUUUGAUUGCAUUUAUCUUAUUAGUGGUAGAAAGAUCGAUUGAGUAUUCCAGGUAACUGAUUCAUAUGUAUACUUGUGUAUGCGCCCCAUUAGGAAGAAAUCUCUGGGCCCAUCCCUGAUUAGUGCUGAUGGACGUGUUUAUCUUGAUGCCAGAGGUCAAGUUUCACAUGUAUAUUGUCUAUGACGAUGAUGUGAAGCACGGCUAUAUGAGGUUGCCAACAAGCAAAAUAAUUAUCAAUAAUUAAUUAUAUUAUAACGUAUCAUUUGUCCAAUAAAGGAGUUUGUGGAUUAA